GUCCUCACUUCGGCAGCACAUUUACAAAACUGGACUGAUAUAGAGAAGACUAGAAUGGGCUCUGCACAAGGAUGACAGGCAAAUUCGUGAUGCAUUCAGUAUUUUU